AUUGAACGCUGGCGGCAGGCCUAACACAUGCAAGUCGAACGGUAACAGGAAGCAGCUUGCUGCUUCGCUGACGAGUGGCGGACGGGUGAGUAAUGUCUGGGAAGCUGCUUGAUGGAGGGGGAUAACUACUGGAAACGGUAGCUAGUACCGCAUAAUGUCGCAAGACCAAAGAGGGGGACCUUCGGGCCUCUUGCCAUCGGAUGUGCCCAGAUGGGAUUAGCUUGUUGGUGGGGUAACGGCUCACCAAGGCGACGAUCCCUAGCUGGUCUGAGAGGAUGACCAGCCACACUGGAACUGAGACACGGUCCAGACUCCUACGGGAGGCAGCAGUGGGGAAUAUUGCACAAAGGGCGCAAGCCUGAUGCAGCCAUGCCGCGUGUAUGAAGAAGGCCUUCGGGUUGUAAAGUACUUUCAGCGGGGAGGAAGGGAGUAAAGUUAAUACCUUUGCUCAUUGACGUUACCCGCAGAAGAAGCACCGGCUAACUCCGUG
rnacentral:rRNA from 1 species